GUGAGCUGGCGGACGGCUUUCGAGCGAUUAUGCUUGAGGAAACUCCGCCCACUGUACAGGCCGCAGCGCUGCAAAGCGCAGGGCGAGAGCCCUGGCUCCGGAACAGAAACGAAACGUCCAUCCAACCUGUGACGAUGACGUGUGCCAAAUCAUCGAGUAUGGCUGGGUGGAAGCGGUGAAACGGCCGUCCUGCGGGGUGAAAGGGCGAAUAGGCACUGAUGAUUCUGUGGGAGGUGCGGGUAGCCCGUUCAGACGAAUGCCGUCUAGAACAGAAGGCGGGUUACAGCCAGCACAC
rnacentral:RNase_P_RNA from 1 species